rnacentral:lncRNA from 1 species
GGACGAGAGGUCAGUGGAACUCGAGAUUUUUUUGGGUAUGAUCUUCCGUUCUUCCAUACACGCUGCAAACGUUUGAUCAUCGGCUAAAGCUCAGAAUUUUGGAUUCUGACAGAGGGAGGGAGGGAGGAGAACCACAUGCGGCCACUCCGUCUGAAGAACACGGAAGAAAUGGCGCUUUUGCUGGUCUAUGGAUUCAGUUCUGGCGGGAAACUUUUUAUACGGCCUUCCACACGCCGUGCCGUGCCGUAAGUGUUGAAGGCUUGCUUAUCAUGGGAUGAUGAUCGCGUUAGGAUCGCGGUAUAAGCUGAAGGUUCAUCUCUAGCAACUUGAUACCAUGUCAAAUUAUCAUAGCUAGAGAUGCCGAAUGAACCAAUAUAUUACCGCGCGCCAGAUGAUUUUUUUUCCUUUUUUUACAACAGAGAUAUCCGAGUUUAGCGAUUCAAGGUCGUCUGUAUCGCUCCAUCAGACCCUCACAUGACACAUUCGCUUACUUGCAUUGCAUACUUAGACCCGGAGUUUUGCCGCACUCGUGGGCUGACCGGGAAGAGUGAGGGGUGUUUAUAAUCUUGGAGUUAUGCGCGUGAGGCUUCUUAUUAGAUACUCCCUCCUUUCUAAAAUAAACAUCAUCAAGCUUUUAUACUAAAACUAGUACAAAAUUAAGACAUUUAUGUUGAGACGAAGAGAGUAUUAGAAACCAAUUUCAUUCAUGAUCUUGGUCACCUAGGCAGGACUUGCUUCUUCCACAACUUGAGAACCCAUAACUUCCAUGAGGACUCCCUCAUGAAGCGUUUCCACAA